rnacentral:rRNA from 1 species
AACUAACGCUGGCGGCGUGCCUAACACAUGCAAGUCGUACGAGAAAGCCGGCUUCGGCUGGUGAGUAAAGUGGCGCACGGGUGAGUAACGCGUGGAUAAUCUGCCCUUAAGUGUGGAAUAACGUACCGAAAGGUGCGCUAAUACCGCAUAAUGCCUGGCAACACAAGUUGUCCGGCCAAAGAAGGCCUCUGUUUACAAGCUUUCGCUUCAGGAUGAGUCCGCGUACCAUUAGCUUGUUGGUGGGGUAAUGGCCUACCAAGGCUGCGAUGGUUAGCUGGUCUGAGAGGAUGAUCAGCCACACUGGAACUGAGACACGGUCCAGACUCCUACGGGAGGCAGGCAGUGAGGAAUAUUGCGCAAUGGGGCAACCCUGACGCAGCAACGCCGCGUGAGUGAGGAAGGUUUUCGGGACUGUAAAGCUCUGUCGAGCGGGAAGAAGUGUACCAUGGCUAAUAUCCAUGAUAUUUGACGGUACCGCUAGAGG